GCCAGGACCGAGUCAACUCGUGGCGAGUGGACUCGGCGCGGGAGGAGGCCGAUCGGGCGGCGGUGGAGACUCGCGAAUUGGAAUUGAGGUGGGACGACUGAGGCUGCGUCGCCGCUGCGCCGUUGUUGGAGGACGAAUCGACGGCGUUGGGCUCGUCCUUCCUCAUUCUGACGUGGACUAGGUCAGAAACGACGGCGUCGUCCUCGUCGUCCGAGAACGUCGAGAGGCCGCCAUACUCGUCCAGUUUCCGCUUCGACGACAGUCGCGCCGCCGCGGCCACCGCCACGCUCGCGCUGUUGUCGCUCCCGCUGCCGCGCUGGUGCGCCACCCAAUCGCCGACGGGGCUGUUGCCGGACAUUUACAGGUGGGCCUCACCCGCCAAAACGGUUCCGGUUCUUCUCCUCUCUCAAUUUCUCUCUCUCCCUCUCUCUCUCUCUCUCUGUGUUUGAAGAAAUCAAAGCCCCCACUCCGCCUUUAAGAAUCGAUCACGAAAUCAAGAAGGUGAGGUUGAAUUAGAGGGAGGCAAAGGCGGUGGUGAUCGGUGGUGGUGGUCGUCUCUGACGUCUGGGCUUCAGAGCCGUCAUCUACAAAGAGGAGGACUGUAAUCCCACGCUAACAAAUUUGGCUUCCUUUUAUAUUUUCCGGUUAAUUUAACCAUCCCGAAAGGUUUGUGCUUUCGAUGCCCUGCUCAAUUUACCAAACUAGCCCUCCUCUGACCG
rnacentral:lncRNA from 1 species